AAGUCGUAACAAGGUCUCCGUAGGUGAACCUGCGGAGGGAUCAUUACCGAGUGAGGGCCCUCGCGGCCCGACCUCCCACCCUUUGUCGUCUUGACCCGUUGCCUCGGGGGUUGCCCGGCCGCCUCUGGCGGCGCUGGGCGCCCCCGGUGGAUCAUCAACGCUGCUUGCUUGCGUCGGAGUCGCGUCCUCGGACGCUCAGAAAUGAAAUCAAAACUUUCAACAACGGAUCUCUUGGUUCUG
rnacentral:misc_RNA from 1 species